UUGUUUGUGAGGGCGCCCAAGUAAUAUCGUAUAAAGCAAUUAUAAGUAAUAACGGAAAAUAAGAAUGGUCUGACCAAGUCCAAAUUUGUACACAAGCUAGUCACAAGGAAUCGAUGUCCGGUAUCCGACGGCAACUCACCCACGAAUGCACAGAUACACAUAUGUUCUUAAUACACACGCGAGACAUCAUUAGCAAGAUUCCAAACACGUCUUUUAACGAUAAAUACUACCAACGAUUACUAAAUUACAAUGCGCCUCGCACAUUUCAUCGCGGACAUAACAGAACGUGGCUCGUAGCAUGAACUGCGAAGGUGAACUGUUAUCUUUAACGCUCAACUAUUUUUAGUUAGAAGGUGCAUCGAUGCGCCACCUAAGAUGACUUUACAAUAACAACGAGUGCUGCGCAGAGUGGGGCAUGCGUAUGUAUCAGUGUGAAUCAGUGUGGCGACGUCUGAAUAAAUGAAUGUAAACAUGAUAAAUAAUAAACAUUGAAUUAAAUCUAAAAUUUAUUAGAUACAAUUUGUUUGGAAUAAAGUGUGUACAAAACA